rnacentral:rRNA from 1 species
UACAGAGGCCUCGAGCGUUAGGCGGAAUCACUGGGCUUAAAGCGUGUGUAGGCGGACUUCUAAGUACCUUGUGAAAUCCCACGGCUCACCCGUGGAACUGCUCGGUAUACUGGUCGUCUUGAGCCUUCUAGGGGCGAGUGGAACAAAUGGUGGAGCGGUGAAAUGCGUAGAUAUCAUUUGGAAUGCCAAUGGGGAAAACAACUCGCUGGGGAAGUGCUGACGCUGAGACACGAAAGCCAGGGGAGCGAACGGG